rnacentral:rRNA from 1 species
ACUCCUACGGGAGGCAGCAGUGGGGAAUUUUGCGCAAUGGGCGAAAGCCUGACGCAGCAACGCCGCGUGAGUGAUGAAGGCUUUCGGGUCGUAAAGCUCUGUCAAUGGGAAAGAAGUGUAUUGCAGCUAAUAUCUGCGAUACUUGACGGUACCCAUAAAGGAAGCACCGGCUAACUCCGUGCCAGCAGCCGCGGUAAUACGGGGGGUGCAAGCGUUGUUCGGAAUUAUUGGGCGUAAAGCGCGUGUAGGCGGUUUGUUAAGUCUGUUGUGAAAGCCCUGGGCUCAACCCAGGAAGCGCACUGGAUACUGGCAGACUUGAAUACGGGAGAGGGUAGUGGAAUUCCUGGUGUAGGAGUGAAAUCCGUAGAUAUCAGGAGGAACACCGGUGGCGAAGGCGGCUACCUGGACCGAUAUUGACGCUGAGACGCGAAAGCGUGGGUAGCAAACAGGAUUAGAUACCCUGGUAGUCCACGCCGUAAACGAUGAGAACUAGGUGUUGCGGGUA